rnacentral:rRNA from 1 species
GCACGGAAGUUAGCCGGGGCUUAUUCUCCCGGGUACAGUCAUUAUCUUCCCGGGUAAAAGAGCUUUACAACCCUAAGGCCUUCAUCACUCACGCGGCAUUGCUGGAUCAGGCUUUCGCCCAUUGUCCAAUAUUCCCCA